AGCAGCCGCGGUAAUUCCAGCUCCAAUAGCGUAUAUUAAAGUUGUUGCAGUUAAAAAGCUCGUAGUUGAACUUCGGGAUCAAUGGAUUGGUCAUGCCGAUGGUGUGUACUGGUCAUAUUGGUUCUCACCUUCUAAGGAACCAUAAUGUCAUUUAUUUGAUGUUGUGGGGAAUUAGGACUGCUACCUUGAAAAAAUUAGAGUGUUUAAAGCAGGCUAACGCUUGAAUACAUUAGCAUGGAAUAAUGAAAUAGGACAUCGCAUUCUAUUUUGUUGGUUUCUAGGAUCGAUGUAAUGAUUAAUAGGGAUAGUUGGGGGCAUUAGUAUUCAAUUGUCAGAGGUGAAAUUCUUGGAUUUAUUGAAGACUAACUACUGCGAAAGCAUUUGCCAAGGAUGUUUUCAUUAAUCAAGAACGAAAGUUAGGGGAUCGAAGACGAUCAGAUACCGUCGUAGUCUUAACCAUAAACUAUGCCGACUAGGGAUCGGAUGAUGUUGAUUUUUUAAUGACUCAUUCGGCACCUUA
rnacentral:rRNA from 1 species